UUAUCUCAUGAACCAGUGUUUAAGAGAGCGAAACUAACUUCCACAGCAGGCCAGAUAAAGUCAAGUGUUCAGUGAGUACCUACAGAUGAAAUGGCCCCUGCUAGAUGUUCAACCAGGAGGUCUUCAAAGUAGACAAGCACUUAAAGAUGCCAGGUCCCCGUCACCGGCACACAUCGUUGGGCCCUUCUGCUGGGAAUUCCCCGGACAGUCAGAUCUGAGCCUUCACCAAUUUCAUUUGGUGAGAGACCUUUGAAUUCCAAAAAUAUCUUGUUGGAUUUAUUUGGUUGAUUCCACACACAAAUUAACACCUCAUAAUUGAUGAUUUUAAAACAAGAAUAAUGAAUGAAAAAACCUAAAUCCUGGUGAUGAUGCUGAUAAUCAUGCUGUGUUGUGCUUUCUGCUAUAAUUCAGUGCUGCUGCUUUGUUGCUCGUGUGCUUUUUAAUGUGUAAAAUGCCAAUCCAGGUGAUAAAAUAUUUUUUUUUGGGGGGGGGGCAUAUUUUGGAUGGUAUGUGACUCAUACAGUUGACCAACGUGCUUUCUUAAAAUUUUAAAUACUAAACUGUCUGUCGCGCUUCAUGGGGUAGUCAAAGUGUUUUCUUGUUGAACUUUGUUGAGCCUAUAACUCAUUUUUGUGUGCUAAGGAUUCUGUUUGACUUCUUUAUUUGUGUUAUGCCUAACCAGUGUCAGUUUUCAGGAUUGUUCUGGUUUUAUUGACAACAUCCUUUUUAGCUUUGGGAGUAAUUGUGUAUGUAUUUGGUUUGAAUUAGCCUACAAUCCAUGCAUAAGGGAAGAGUCUUUCUGUUGGGUUUGUAUUUCUUUGAGAAGCUGUUUAUAAGAGACUUCUCUUUAUUAACAGCAUCUGGGUCUGAAUGUAAGACACACACUGUAUGUGUCCACUGGUUGAAGAUUUGGAUUAAAGAUAACCUAACCUGACUGUGCUGUAACACUGCAUGUCCUUUUCUAAUUCAAAAUAGUAGAACAGUCCAGAUUCUUUGGUCAUUGUCCUGCAGCUCUUUAAAAAAAUGAAACC